rnacentral:rRNA from 1 species
UACAGGGGGUGCAAACGUUGCUCGGAAUUACUGGGCGUAAAGCGCGCGUAGGUGGUUCGUUAAGUUGGAUGUGAAAUCCCCGGGCUCAACCUGGGAACUGCAUUCAAAACUGUCGAGCUAGAGUAUGGUAGAGGGUGGUGGAAUUUCCUGUGUAGCGGUGAAAUGCGUAGAUAUAGGAAGGAACACCAGUGGCGAAGGCGACCACCUGGACUGAUACUGACACUGAGGUGCGAAAGCGUGGGGAGCAAACAGG